AAACCAACCGGGAUUGCCUUAGUAACGGCGAGUGAAGCGGCAAAAGCUCAAAUUUGAAAUCUGGUACCUUUGGUGCCCGAGUUGUAAUUUGGAGAGGGCAACUUUGGGACCGUUCCUUGUCUAUGUUCCUUGGAACAGGACGUCAUAGAGGGUGAGAAUCCCGUGUGGCGAGGAGUGCGGUUCUAUGUAAAGUGCCUUCGAAGAGUCGAGUUGUUUGGGAAUGCAGCUCUAAGUGGGUGGUAAAUUCCAUCUAAAGCUAAAUAUUGGCGAGAGACCGAUAGCGAACAAGUACAGUGAUGGAAAGAUGAAAAGAACUUUGAAAAGAGAGUGAAAAAGUACGUGAAAUUGUUGAAAGGGAAGGGCAUUUGAUCAGACAUGGUGUUUUGCGCCCUCUGCUCCUUGUGGGUGGGGGAAUCUCGCAGUUCACUGGGCCAGCAUCAGUUUUGGUGGCAGGAUAAAUCCGUAGGAAUGUAACUUGCUUCGGGAAGUAUUAUAGCCUAUGGGAAUACUGCCAACUGGGACUGAGGACUGCGACGUAAGUCAAGGAUGCUGGCAUAAUGGUUAUAUG
rnacentral:rRNA from 1 species